rnacentral:rRNA from 1 species
UACGUAGGUGGCAAGCGUUGUCCGGAUUUACUGGGCGUAAAGAGCGCGCAGGCGGUCGUUCAAGUCGCGUGUGAAAGCCCCCGGCUCAACUGGGGAGGGUCACUCGAUACUGAUCGACUCGAAGGCAGGAGAGGGAAGCGGAAUUCCCGGUGUAGUGGUGAAAUGCGUAGAUAUCGGGGGGAACACCAGUGGCGAAGGCGGCUUUCUGGCCUGUUCUUGACGCUGAGGCGCGAAAGCUAGGGUAGCAAACGGG